CUGAAAAUAAUAGUUCUUCUCUCUUGAAGAACUUACACACAAAAUCUGAACAAAAAGUGAAGCUAAAACUGAAAAAUCAAAAAUAUUCUUAUCGACGUAUUAUGUUUGCUAUAUUUUGUGGUGAGGCAGUAUUGUUAUGGGAAAUGCCGACAUUGAAUCAAGUAUUGAACGACAUUAAGGUGUCAGUGAACGCUACAACAUUGCGCGACUAUGCUGAAGUUAUCCGUCUGUGGAGAAUUCAUCCGGACAUGGUGGUGAUAGCUUGAGAAUGUUUCCUAAGUGAAGAUCUUGGAUAAAUCUCCCAAGUUCUUGUAAAGGGACCCUUAUGACUCAAGGCUUGCCUAUUUCAAGGUGUUUCUUUAAUUUGAUGUAAUAGCUUACAUAUUAUUUUAUGUUGUUAUGGGUCGUGUCCCUAUUCUACUAUAUUGGUGUUUAAACUAAGAGGGCAAAGUGACUUACAGUAUAAUAAUGUGUGUGUG
rnacentral:lncRNA from 1 species